rnacentral:rRNA from 1 species
UCCGGGGGAGGCCGCGAAUGCUUUAUACCCAGGGCUGUCCGAAUUGGCAACCCGCCAAGCGGUCCAUGGGCUGGCACGCGCCAUUUUCGUGGUACGUCAGAAGUUAUACAUCCUCAGUACCUGCAGGAGAGGAUUACUCGUGAGUAGUUGCGAGCGAAAAGCGGAUGAUGGCUAAACCCGUGCGUGUGGAUACCCGUCGGGGGUUUGCCGCGCAUGGCGUGUCGUGGGACAGCCUGUCAGCGGCCCGACGCCGGUUGGCUGUGGUGAUAAAUGCAUGCGUGAGGCGAACCGCGGUUGGAUACCGGGCGGAUGAGGGUGAUGGCCCGUAGCCGUAUGCGCGUGGCACCAUGGAUGGUGUCUCCGAAGUAGCGCGGGACCGUGAAUCCGUGUGAAUCGCCCCGGACCGUCGGUAAGCUGAGGUAUACCUUGUCUGACCGAAGGCGUACGGAGUUACGUUGAGGGAAAGGUGAAAAGCACCCCGGGGGGGAGUGAAAGGUUCCUGAACCGUGCGCCCGCGAACCCGUCGAGCCCCCUGGUGGGGGUGGACGGCGUGCCUAUCGAAAAAUGAGUCUGCCGAGUCAUGUGGCAUUGUGGGCAGCAUACAGCCGUUGGUGUAUGCGUGCGGAAAGCGAGUCCUUAAAAGGCGUUUGGUCGCGUGUCCUGACCGAAGGGGAUUGAUCUAAGGCCUGGUCAGGUGAAGCGUGGGUAGAGACGCGUGGAGGACCGCACCCACUUAGUUGAAAACUGAGGGGAUGAACUGGGGUUAGGCGGUGAAAGGGGCCAAUCAAAUUUCGUGAUAGCUGGUUCUCUUCGAAAUGCAUUUAGGUGCAGCGUCGGUUGAUUCGUGUGGGGGGUAGAGCUACUGGGAUCUGCUUGCGGCCCGCUACCGGGUACCCAACAGGCAACAACUUCCGAAACCAUCGCGUCUAUUCGCAGUGAGUCGGGGGCCCCAGGGGGAUAUAAGCUCCGUCGUCGAGGGGAGGACAGCCCUGGGACCGUCGUCUUAGAGGUCCCCAAGCGCGUGCUUAAGUUGGGGGAAAGGAUUGUGGAGUGCAUAGAAGCCCAGGGUUUGCUCAGCAAGCAGCCAUCCUUUGAAAGACGUGCGUAACAGCUCAUGCGUCUAGUGGGUCCGCCGCGACAAAUGUACGGGCUCAAGCACGCCGAACGACGGGGCGGAUGCAACGUUGUUGGGUUGCGGUGGUAGGAGAGCGUCCACACCGGGGCGAAGCGGCGGGGGACACCCGGCCCGUGGACUGUGUGGGAGUGAGAAAUGCCAGAACAGUGGAGUUAGCGGGAGAGCAGGGGUGAGGAUCCCUGCCGCUGAAGACCAAGGGUUCCACGGGCCACGUUCGUCGUCCCUGGGUGAGUCCGGGUUCUAAGGCGAAGGCCGACAGGCGUAGUUCGAAUGGAUGAACGGGUGCGAUAUUCCCUGUACGGGCUUUCGGACCGACCAGCAGGCCCGCUGUGAACAAGGGCCAUGCCGAUACGGUUGAUGGGGGCUUGCGCCUUCUGAUUCCGUUUGCUGUUUGGCUGGACGCGGGCAUGGGUUUGAGGCGUUUCAGGAGUUGACGCGGACGGGUAGGGCCGGGCGGGGAGGUUGGUUUUUCCCUGGUGCCAAAGCGUGUGGCCCCGCCCCCAGGGCAAAUCCGGCGGGCAUGAUGGGGUGAGGCGGAUGAUGGGCGCUGUUUUCACGGCGUCGAAUAUCCGGUGAUCCCGUUCGCCGACGAACACGGGCAUUGCUGCGCGAGGUUCCGUUGCCGCCCGUACCCCAAACCGACACAGGUGGUCUGGUAGAGUAUACCGAAGCGAUCCGAGGCGAAUCCUGGUCCAAGGACACUGCGGCAAAUUUGCUCCGUGGGCUUCGGCAUAAGGGAGACGGCCCCGGGCGUUCGGCCCGUUCGCGGCCGCGGCGCUGGGGGUGGCACAGCCAGGGGUAGCCGACUGUUUUUAACGGCAAAAGCACAGGUGCAUGCCAAGGACGCAAGUCGCCGUAAUAUGGCACUGAUCGCUGCCCCGGUGCCGGAAGGUUAAGAGGAUGCCAUCCAGGCGUCCCUCGCGGGAAAUGCGAAGUGUGAAUUCAAGGCGCCCGGUACAACGGCGGUGGUAAACUAUGAAACACGUCCUAAGGUAGCGAAAUUCCCUUGUCGGUAAGUCCGACGCUGCACAAUGGCGUAACGAUUCCGCGCUGUCUCGACAGGAAGCCUCGGCGCGAAAUUGGGCAGUACGAGUAAAGAUGCUCGUUUAGCGCCCAGAAGGACGAAAAGACCCGGGACCUUUACUAUACCUUGGUAUUGGCACAGGUGCGGUAUUGUCGCUAGCAUAGGCGGAAGGCCUUCGAAAAGGCCACGGCGCCAGCCGGUGGUGGAGGCCGGCCAGUGAAAUACCGCCCUCUGUCCCCAUCUGAUGCCCCUAACCCGCGACCAAGUGAAGCCUUGUCGGGGAGAGUGCCUGGCCGGGUAAGUUUAACUUGGGGCGGUUGCCCUCCCAAGAGUAACGGAGGCCGCUCAAAGUCCCGCUCGCGCCGGUUGGCAAUCGGGUGUCGAGUGUAUCGACACAAGCGGGCUUUGACUGCCCGAGUCGACGGAUCGAGCAGGGACGAAAGUCGGAGAUAGUGAUUCCCGGGGGCGGGCGGCCGGCUGCCGCGCGUACGGACGCGGCAUCGCUCAACGGCAUUAAAAGGUACCCCGGGCGGAUAACAGGCUGAUCAUUCCCAAGCAGAGUCCAUAUCGACGGAGUGGUUUUGGCCCACCUCGAUGUCGGCUCGUCGCAUCCUGCGCUGGAGCCCAGGCCUUCCCAAGGCGUUCGGCCUGCUUCGCCGCAUUAAAGCGGCACGCCGCAGCUGCCGGUUCAGAACGUCCGUGAGACAGUUUGGGUCUCUAUCCUCUUGCCGCUCGUCGGAAUCCUGAAGGAGGCCUGCCCCCAUAGUGCGAGAGGGCACCUGCGGUGAGACGAACUCUGGUAUGCCAGUUGUUCCCGCCAGGGGGCCACGGCUGCGUUGGCCACGUUCGGGGAGGGAUAACCGCUGCAAAGCAUCUAAGCGGGAAGCCCGGCUCCAAGAUAAGGAUCCUGACACCCCCCCUGGGGGCGUGCUGUGUGAGAACCCCCAUAGCAGAACAUGCUGGUUGAUAGACCGACGUGGAAGCCCCGGCGAGGGUGGAGCGACCGGCAUUAACGUCGAAAGACAACCAACA